rnacentral:rRNA from 1 species
AGAAUCAACGCUGGCGGCGUGCCUAACACAUGCAAGUCGCACGAGAAAGGGUAGCAAUACCUGAGUACAGUGGCGCACGGGUGAGUAACACGUGAAUAAUCUACCUCCGAGUGGGGAAUAACUGAGAGAAAUCUUAGCUAAUACCGCAUAAUACCCACGGGUCAAAGCAGCAAUGCGCUUGGAGAGGAGUUCGCGGCCGAUUAGCUAGUUGGCGGGGUAAUGGCCCACCAAGGCGAUGAUCGGUA